UUUCGAUGAUACGCGAGGAACCUUACCUGGGCUCGAACGUAAGAUGACUGUAGGUGAAAGCUUACAUCUCUUCGGAGCAUUUUACGAGGUGCUGCAUGGUUGUCGUCAGCUCGUGCCGUGAGGUGUCGGGUUAAGUCCCAUAACGAGCGCAACCCCUACCUUUAGUUGCCAUCAGGUUAAGCUGGGGACUCUAAAGGAACUGCCUACGCAAGUAGUGAGGAAGACGGGGAUGACGUCAAAUCAGCACGGCCCUUACGUCCAGGGCUACACACGUGCUACAAUGGCCGAUACAGAGGGCAGCUACCUGGUGACAGGAUGCAAAUCUCCAAAGUCGGUCUCAGUUCGGAUCGGAGUCUGCAACCCGACUCCGUGAAGUUGGAUUCGCUAGUAAUCGCGCAUCAGCCAUGGCGCGGUGAAUACGUUCCCGGGCCUU
rnacentral:rRNA from 1 species